rnacentral:rRNA from 1 species
AACGAACGCUGGCGGCAUGCCUAACACAUGCAAGUCGAACGAGACCUUCGGGUCUAGUGGCGCACGGGUGCGUAACGCGUGGGAACCUGCCCUUAGGUUCGGAAUAACUCCCCGAAAGGGGUGCUAAUACCGGAUAAUGUCUUCGGACCAAAGAUUUAUCGCCUUUGGAUGGGCCCGCGUUGGAUUAGCUAGUUGGUAGGGUAAAAGCCUACCAAGGCGACGAUCCAUAGCUGGUCUGAGAGGAUGAUCAGCCACACUGGGACUGAGACACGGCCCAGACUCCUACGGGAGGCAGCAGUGGGGAAUAUUGGACGAUGGGCGAAAGCCUGAUCCAGCAAUGCCGCGUGAGUGAUGAAGGCCUUAGGGUUGUAAAGCUCUUUUACCCGGGAUGAUAAUGACAGUACCGGGAGAAUAAGCGCCGGCUAACUCCGUG